rnacentral:rRNA from 1 species
GACGAACGCUGGCGGCGUGCUUAACACAUGCAAGUCAAACGGAAAGGCCCCCACUUUUUUGGUGGGGGUGCUCGAGUGGCGAACGGGUGAGUAACACGUGGGUGAUCUGCCCUGUACUUCGGGAUAAGCUUGGGAAACUGGGUCUAAUACCGGAUAGGACCAUGGUUUAGUGUCUCAUGGUGGAAAAAUUAUUGUUUUGGUGCAGGAUGAGCUCGCGGCCUAUCAGCUUGUUGGUGGGGUAAUGGCCUACCAAGGCGUCGACGGGCAGCCGGCCUGAGAGGGUGGACGGCCACAUUGGGACUGAGAUACGGCCCAGACUCCUACGGGAGGCAGCAGUGGGGAAUAUUGCACAAUGGGCGCAAGCCUGAGGCAGCGACGCCGCGUGGGGGAUGACGGCCGUCGGGUUGUAAACUCCUUUCGUUAGGGACGAAGCCGCACCUUUUUUGGGUGUGGUGACGGUACCUUUGUUAAGAAGCACCGGCUAACUACGUG